CAGGUACANAGGGGUGCUACCGGGUGACCGGAUNCCGAUCUCGAAAACCUGUCCCAGUUCGGACUGGAGUCUGCAACCCGACUCCACGAAGUUGGAUUCGCUAGUAAUCGCGCAUCAGCCAUGGCGCGGUGAAUACGUUCCCGGGCCUUGUACACACCGCCCGUCAAGCCAUGGGAGCCGGGGGCGCCUGAAGUCCCGGGACCGCGAGGACCGGCCUAGGGCGAAACUGGUGACUGGGCUAAGUCGUAACAAGGUACC
rnacentral:rRNA from 1 species